UACGGAGGGUGCAAGCGUUAUCCGGAUUCACUGGGUUUAAAGGGUGCGUAGGUGGGUUGGUAAGUCAGUGGUGAAAUCUCCGAGCUUAACUUGGAAACUGCCAUUGAUACUAUCAGUCUUGAAUAUUGUGGAGGUCAGCGGAAUAUGUCAUGUAGCGGUGAAAUACUUAGAUAUGACAUAGAACACCGAUUGCGAAGGCAGCUUGCUAAGCUAUAACUGACACUGAUGCACGAA
rnacentral:rRNA from 1 species